UUGAUACACACGUCCCUGGUAGAUCGCCUACCUAAUUUGUCGUAGGUGGCACCUUGAAAUGCGACCCCAGGAUGGGCGGGAUGACCCGCUGAGUUUAAG
rnacentral:rRNA from 2 species